AAAGGAAUAGACGGGGACCCGCACAAGCAGUGGAGUAUGUGGUUUAAUUCGAGGCAACGCGAAGAACCUUACCAAGGCUUGACAUCCCGUGACAAACAUAGAAAUAUGUCUUUCCCUUCGGGGACACGGAGACAGGUGGUGCAUGGUUGUCGUCAGCUCGUGUCGUGAGAUGUUGGGUUAAGUCCCGCAACGAGCGCAACCCCUGCUGCCAGUUGCCAUCAUUCAGUUGGGCACUCUGGCGGGACCGCCGGUGAUAAAUCGGAGGAAGGUGGGGACGACGUCAAAUCAUCAUGCCCCUUAUGUCUUGGGCUACACACGUACUACAAUGGCCGUUACAAAGGGCAGCUAAGCCGCGAGGUGGAGCGAAUCCCAUAAAGGCGGCCCCAGUUCGGAUUGCAGGCUGCAACUCGCCUGCAUGAAGUCGGAAUUGCUAGUAAUUGCAGGUCAGCAUACUGCAGUGAAUACGUUCCCGGGUCUUGUACACACCGCCCGU
rnacentral:rRNA from 1 species